rnacentral:hammerhead_ribozyme from 1 species
GUCCAGAUGACGAGUCUCAAAUAGGACCAAACGUGCGUUUUGGAU